rnacentral:rRNA from 1 species
AUUGAACGCUGGCGGCAUGCCUUACACAUGCAAGUCGAACGGCAGCGCGGACUUCGGUCUGGCGGCGAGUGGCGAACGGGUGAGUAAUGCAUCGGAACGUACCUUUCAGUGGGGGAUAACGUAGCGAAAGUUACGCUAAUACCGCAUAUUCUGUGAGCAGGAAAGCAGGGGAUCGCAAGACCUUGCGCUGAUGGAGCGGCCGAUGUCAGAUUAGCUAGUUGGUGGGGUAAAGGCUCACCAAGGCGACGAUCUGUAGCGGGUCUUAGAGGAUGAUCCGCCACACUGGAACUGAGACACGGUCCAGACUCCUACGGGAGGCAG